rnacentral:rRNA from 1 species
GAUAAACGCUGGCGGCGUGCCUAAUACAUGCAAGUCGAGCGAACGGACGAGAAGCUUGCUUCUCUGAUGUUAGCGGCGGACGGGUGAGUAACACGUGGAUAACCUACCUAUAAGACUGGGAUAACUUCGGGAAACCGGAGCUAAUACCGGAUAAUAUUUUGAACCGCAUGGUUCAAAAGUGAAAGACGGUCUUGCUGUCACUUAUAGAUGGAUCCGCGCUGCAUUAGCUAGUUGGUAAGGUAACGGCUUACCAAGGCAACGAUGCAUAGCCGACCUGAGAGGGUGAUCGGCCACACUGGAACUGAGACACGGUCCAGACUCCUACGGGAGGCAGCAGUAGGGAAUCUUCCGCAAUGGGCGAGAGCCUGACGGAGCAACGCCGCGUGAGUGAUGAAGGUCUUCGGAUCGUAAAACUCUGUUAUUAGGGAAGAACAUAUGUGUAAGUAACUGUGCACAUCUUGACGGUACCUAAUCAGAAAGCCACGGCUAACUACGUGCCAGCAGCCGCGGUAAUACGUAGGUGGCAAGCGUUAUCCGGAAUUAUUGGGCGUAAAGCGCGCGUAGGCGGUUUUUUAAGUCUGAUGUGAAAGCCCACGGCUCAACCGUGGAGGGUCAUUGGAAACUGGAAAACUUGAGUGCAGAAGAGGAAAGUGGAAUUCCAUGUGUAGCGGUGAAAUGCGCAGAGAUAUGGAGGAACACCAGUGGCGAAGGCGACUUUCUGGUCUGUAACUGACGCUGAUGUGCGAAAGCGUGGGGAUCAAACAGGAUUAGAUACCCUGGUAGUCCACGCCGUAAACGAUGAGUGCUAAGUGUUAGGGGGUUUCCGCCCCUUAGUGCUGCAGCUAACGCAUUAAGCACUCCGCCUGGGGAGUACGACCGCAAGGUUGAAACUCAAAGGAAUUGACGGGGACCCGCACAAGCGGUGGAGCAUGUGGUUUAAUUCGAAGCAACGCGAAGAACCUUACCAAAUCUUGACAUCCUUUGACAACUCUAGAGAUAGAGCCUUCCCCUUCGGGGGACAAAGUGACAGGUGGUGCAUGGUUGUCGUCAGCUCGUGUCGUGGGAUGUUGGGUUAAGUCCCGCAACGAGCGCAACCCUUAAGCUUAGUUGCCAUCAUUAAGUUGGGCACUCUAAGUUGACUGCCGGUGACAAACCGGAGGAAGGUGGGGAUGACGUCAAAUCAUCAUGCCCCUUAUGAUUUGGGCUACACACGUGCUACAAUGGACAAUACAAAGGGCAGCGAAACCGCGAGGUCAAGCAAAUCCCAUAAAGUUGUUCUCAGUUCGGAUUGUAGUCUGCAACUCGACUACAUGAAGCUGGAAUCGCUAGUAAUCGUAGAUCAGCAUGCUACGGUGAAUACGUUCCCGGGUCU